rnacentral:rRNA from 1 species
GUGCACCAGGCGCGAAACUUUACAAUGUGCGAAAGCACGAUAAGGGAACUCUGAGUGCCUCCUAAGGAGGCUGUUCAGGUGUCUAAAAGCACCUGAAGGAAGGGCUGGGUAAGACCGGUGCCAGCCGCCGCGGUAACACCGGCAGCCCAAGUGGUAGCCACGUUUAUUGGGUCUAAAGCGUCCGUAGCCGGCUGGGUAAGUUCCUUGGGAAAUUUGGCUGCUUAACAGUCAAGCUUUCAGGGAAUACUGCCCGGCUUGGGGACCGGGAGAGGUCAGAGGUACUCCAGGGGUAGGGGUGAAAUCCAUUAAUCCUUGGGGGACCACCGGUAGCGAAGGCGUCUGACCAGACCGGGUCCGACGGUGAGGGACGAAGGCUAGGGGCGCGAACCGGAUUAGAUACCCCUGUAGU